AGAGUUUGAUCCUGGCUCAGAAUGAACGCUGGCGGCAUGGCUAAGACAUGCAAGUCGAACGAGCUAUUCAAGUGAGUAAUCACGCGAAUAUGUUAGUGGCGAAAGGGUGAGGAAUAGGUAGGAACGUACCCCAUGCUCUGGGAUAGCGUCCUGAAAGGGGCGGUAAUACCAGAUAAUGUAGAGAUACCAAAGAUUUAUCGGCAAGGGAGCGGCCUAUCUCCUAUCAGCUUGUUGGUGAGGUAAUGGCUUACCAAGGCGACGACGGGUAGCGGGACUGAGAGGUUGGCCCGCCACAUCGGGACUGAGACACUGCCCGGACCUCCACGGAGGGCUGCAGUAACGAAUAUUGGGCAAUGGGCGAAAGCCUGACCCAGCAAUGCCGCGUGUAGGAUGAAGCCCUUCGGGGUGUAAACUACUGUCAGGAGUUAGAAAGCCUUAGGGUUGAUCAGCUCCAGAGGAAGUCACGGCUAACUUCGUGCCAGCAGCCGCGGUAAUACGAAGGUGGCGAGCGUUAUUCGGAAUCACUGGGCUUAAAGCGUACGCAGGCGGAAUGGUAAGUGUCUUGUGAAAUCCCCCGGCUCAACCGGGGAAUUGCUCGGCAAACUACUAUUCUUGAGGCAAGUAGGGGUGCAUGGAACUCUUGGUGGAGCGGUGGAAUGCGUAGAUAUCAAGAGGAACGCCAAAGGUGAAGACAGUGCACUGGGCUUGUCCUGACGCUGAGGUACGAAAGCGUGGGGAGCGAACGGGAUUAGAUACCCCAGUAGUCCACGCCGUAAACGAUGUCUACUAGGUCGUGGGUGUUCUGACACAUUCACGGCCGAAGCAAAAGUGUUAAGUAGACCGCCUGGGGAGUACGGUCGCAAGGCUAAAACUCAAAGGAAUUGACGGGGGCUCACACAAGCGGUGGAGCAUGUGGAUUAAUUCGAAGCAACGCGCAGAACCUUACCUGGGUUUGACAUGUAUGGAUGCCUGCUGUGAAAGCAGUUAGGCUGCCUUCGGGUGAAACUUACACAGGUGCUGCAUGGCUGUCGUCAGCUCGUGUCGUGAGAUGUCGGGUUAAGUCCUUUAACGAGCGAAACCCUUGCCGUUAGUUGCCAGCGGGUCAUGCCGGGGACUCUAACGGGACUGCCGGUGUUAAACCGGAGGAAGGUGGGGAUGACGUCAAGUCCUCAUGGCCUUUAUGCCCAGGGCCUCACACGUGCUACAAUGGACGUUACAGAGCGAUGCAAUAUCGUGAGAUGGAGCAAAUCGCAAAAAGGCGUCCUCAGUUCGGAUUGCAGGCUGUCAAUUCGCCUGCAUGAAGUUGGAAUCGCUAGUAAUCGCGUAUCAGCCAUGACGCGGUGAAUGUGUUCCUGAGCCUUGUACACACCGCCCGUCAAGUGAUGGAAGCCGGGAGUACCCGAAGUCGGAUUGCUAACCGCAAGGGGGCGUCUGCCGACGGUAAGCUCGGUGACUGGCACUAAGUCGUAACAAGG
rnacentral:rRNA from 1 species